GAGUUAAUUCUAAGAUGGAAACAAUAUGAAGCAUACGUACAAGCUUUGGAGGGCAAGUAUACAGAUCUUAAACUCUAAUGAUGUAACUGGCCUAAGAGAGUCUGAAGAAAAACUAAAGCAACAACAGCAAGAGUCUGCACGCAGGGAAAACAUCCUUGUAAUGCGACUAGCAACCAAGGAACAAGAGAUGCAAGAGUGUACUACUCAAAUCCAGUACCUCAAGCAAGUCCAGCAGCCGAGCGUUGCCCAACUGAGAUCAACAAUGGUAGACCCAGCGAUCAACUUGUUUUUCCUAAAAAUGAAAGGUGAACUGGAACAGACUAAAGACAAACUGGAACAAGCCCAAAAUGAACUGAGUGCCUGGAAGUUUACGCCUGAUAGACGCCUGAUGGCAUCGGACUAUUCCGAAGAAGUGGCCACCUCCGAAAAAUUCCCCUUCUAGAACAUGUAGACACUUGAGAAAUGUUUCUGUUUGAAGAAAAUAGAGGGAGAAACAGAAGUCUUAAGUCUGUGGCACACUGUGUCUUCAGACAGUUUGAAGGAAUGAAAACCUAGAGAUUUUAAAUCAUGA
rnacentral:lncRNA from 1 species